UACGUAGGGCGCAAGCGUUUAUCCGGAAUUAUUGGGCGUAAAGAGCUCGUAGGCGGUUUGUCGCGUCUGCCGUGAAAGUCCGGGGCUCAACUCCGGAUCUGCGGUGGGUACGGGCAGACUAGAGUGAUGUAGGGGGAGACUGGAAUUCCUGGUGUAGCGGUGAAAUGCGCAGAUAUCAGGAGGAACACCGAUGGCGAAGGCAGGUCUCUGGGCCGAUACUGACGCUGAGGAGCGAAAGCGUGGGGAGCGAACAGG
rnacentral:rRNA from 1 species